UACGUAGGGUGCAAGCGUAAUCGGAAUUACUGGGCGUAAAGCGUGCGCAGGCGGUCCGUUAAGACAGAUGUGAAAUCCCCCGGGCUUAAACCUGGGGAACUGCAUUUUGUGACUGGGCGGACUCGAGUAUGGCAGAGGGGGGGUAGAAAUUCCACGUGUAGCAGUGAAAUGCGUAGAGAUGUGGAGGAAUACCGAUGGCGAAGGCAGCCCCCUGG
rnacentral:rRNA from 1 species